rnacentral:lncRNA from 1 species
CAUUCUCAUGUAAAUAGUUCCACUUGUAAUACUGAUCUUACAUCUGAUAUGAAUUACACUUGGCACUUAAGACUUGCACAUAUUCCUUUUGCCAACAUGAAAUGCAUUUCUGGUCUGCCUUUUCCUUUUGCUUCCAAACAAGCACAUAUUCCUUUUGCCAACAUGAAAUGCAUUUCUGGUAUGCCUUUUCCUUUUGCUUCCAAACAAUCCUUUCCCUGUACAGUCUGUCCCAUGGCCAGACAAACCAGGCUCCCUUUCCUGAUAGCUCCAUUAGAACCUCUAAACCUUUCCAACUGAUUCAUGCGGACACUUGGGGACCUUAUCAUUCUCCAACCUCAUCUGGUUGCAAAUACUUCCUUACAAUUGUUGAUGAUUUUUCAAGGGCAACCUGGACACACUUAUUGGGAUCCAAGAGUAAUGCGUUUUCUAUGCUUAAGUCCUUCCUUGCCAUGGUCAGAACCCAAUUUUAUGCUGUGGUUCAGACUGUUAGAAGUGACAGUGCCUUAGAAUUGGGCUCUAGCAAUGAGGGCAUUUCUUUCUUUAGCAGUCAGGGGAUCAUCCAUCAAACCUCAUGCCCUCACACCCCUCAACAAAAUGGUGUAGUUGAGAGAAAGCAUAGAACUCUUCUUGAGGCAUGUAGAGCAUUGCUCUUUCAAUCUGGCUUGCCAGUAUCCUUCUGGGGGGACUGCUUAUUGACUGCCACUUAUCUCCUUAACAGAAUACCAACCAGAUUGCUUAAUAACAAGUCUCCUCAUGAGAUUUUGUAUGGCCAAAUUCCUUCCUAUGCUCACUUGAGGGUUUUUGGUUGCCUGGCCUAUGCCAGCCUCUCCCUCUGCUCCUCCCUCUGCUUCUUCUUUUCCCUUUCUUCCCUCUGGAGAACAAGAUGAUAUCUCUGAUUCUCCCAUUCCACUCUCUCCUCCCUCUUCUGACACACCUGUCCAGAUGCCUUCUUCUGCUCCACUCAGUCCUGCUGUUUCCCCUCCUGUUUUGGAUCCUCCUCCUACUGUACCUGCUCCCAGAAAGUCUAACAGACACCAUAAUCCUCCUUCCUAUCUUAAAUAUUAUGUGUGUCAACUCCCUGUCUUCUCUGGCUCAUCUUCCUCCUCUUUGGAACUUGAGCCUCUAUACUAUUCUCAGGAAGCAUCUGUUCCAGCUUGGCAAGCUGCCAUGAGACAGGAGUUUGAAGCUUUGGACACAAAUCAUACUUGGGAUGUUGUUCCUUUUCCUCCUGGUAAGAAACCCAUUGGUUGCAAAUGGGUUUACAACAUUAAAUAUAAGGCAGAUGGCAGUGUUGAAAGGUAUAAGGUCAGGUUGGUUAUAAGGGGUGACACACAGG